UACGUAGGGUGCGAGCGUUGUCCGGAAUUAUUGGGCGUAAAGAGCUCGUAGGCGGCCUGUCGCGUCGGAUGUGAAAGCCCGGGGCUUAACCCCGGGUCUGCAUUCGAUACGGGCAGGCUAGAGUGUGGUAGGGGAGAUCGGAAUUCCUGGUGUAGCGGUGAAAUGCGCAGAUAUCAGGAGGAACACCGGUGGCGAAGGCGGGUCUCUGGGCCGAUACUGACGCUGAGGAGCGAAAGCGUGGGGAGCAAACAGG
rnacentral:rRNA from 1 species